UGGAAGUAAAAGUCGUAACAAGGUCUCCGUUGGUGAACCAGCGGAGGGAUCAUUACCGAGUUUACAACUCCCAAACCCAAUGUGAACGUUACCAAACUGUUGCCUCGGCGGGAUCUCUGCCCCGGGUGCGUCGCAGCCCCGGACCAAGGCGCCCGCCGGAGGACCAACCUAAAACUCUUAUUGUAUACCCCCUCGCGGGUUUUUUUAUAAUCUGAGCCUUCUCGGCGCCUCUCGUAGGCGUUUCGAAAAUGAAUCAAAACUUUCAACAACGGAUCUCUUGGUUCUGGCAUCGAUGAAGAACGCAGCGAAAUGCGAUAAGUAAUGUGAAUUGCAGAAUUCAGUGAAUCAUCGAAUCUUUGAACGCACAUUGCGCCCGCCAGUAUUCUGGCGGGCAUGCCUGUCCGAGCGUCAUUUCAACCCUCGAACCCCUCCGGGGGGUCGGCGUUGGGGAUCGGCCCUCCCUUAGCGGGUGGCCGUCUCCGAAAUACAGUGGCGGUCUCGCCGCAGCCUCUCCUGCGCAGUAGUUUGCACACUCGCAUCGGGAGCGCGGCGCGUCCACAGCCGUUAAACACCCAACUUCUGAAAUGUUGACCUCGGAUCAGGUAGGAAUACCCGCUGAACUUAAGCAUAUCAAUAAGCGGAGGA
rnacentral:rRNA from 4 species